UCCUUCUGGUUUUCUCUCGUGCUUUCAGUCUGACAAUCAAUUCAAAGUCUUUAUUCAUGACAUACGAUACAUAUCUUACGUCAAUCAACUAAAUCACCCAUUGUUUGGUCUCCUACGGCGUUAUCAAUAGUAUAAUGUUACAAAUUAUUCUACACACUCCCCCCUUUGAGCCUGUAGGGGUCAAACAUGACUUGUGUUCUCCAAUGUGCAUCCAAAGCUGCUGCUCUCCUAGGUCUAUUACUAUGGACACAGCUUUCCACCUUACCCUUCUCUCCGUCUUUAUCAUUCAUUUCCGUCUUUCCUUUCUCAUUAAUUUUCGUCUUUCCUUUCUGGUUAUCAUACCCAUCCACUUCAUUUUCAACUUUAUUAUCCUUUCUUUCUUCUGUACUGCUUCCGUUCUCAUUUAACUCUACAGGAUACAAUUUCUGAACUGGUCUAUUAAGAUAUACUGCAUUUCCUUUAGUCAUCACUCUCACUUUCGCUCCUCGAACCACUUCAUCUCUACCGACAAUUAAACUCUCAAUCCUACCUAACUUCCAAAAUCCUCUCUUAAGAUUCUCGUCAAAUACUAAAACUACAUCUCCCUUCUUCACUUUACUAUCCCUCUUCUCCCUCUUACUUCUAUGAUGCUCUCUCAAAUUCGUCAAGUAUUCUUUUCUCCAUCUCUCCCAAAAGUGAACUCGCAGUUUCGCUAGAU